UGUUGCAUAAAUAUGGCUGAUUACGAUCGGAUACGGGAGGCCAGUCUCACAGGUGACGUUGCCUCUUCUGCAAGAUUGAUUCUAGUGCUCUUGCUAAGUAAAUAAAUAAAUAAAAUAAACAAUCAUUGACAACAAAAUUUUGGUGAACAAUUUGGAGUAACUGUUCAUUAAUUUCAUGUAGGGUCAACAAAAUUUUGGUGAACAAUUUGGAGUAACUGUUCAUUAAUUUCAUGUAGGGUGCACAGCAAAUAAUUUACAGGCCAGAUGAUCCCCUUUGCCGUUCAUAUAUGGAGCAAAUUUACCAUCCAGUGAAGCAAAAUCAAUAUUUUGCUUCCCAUUGUGAUCAGAGAUUCAAAAGCCGCAGGAUGCACGUUCAAGAACCAGCUUUCUCGCUCACAUUGAAGAAAUACAGGAUACAAGUCUACCAACUGAAAGUGCAUUACCGUCCAUGCUAUCGUGGCUCGAGGUGUUUUACCUACUUUGCGAAAACGUAGCAUUCCCUGAACUCAAUACUGGAACCGGCAUACGAAUGAUACGAAAUCUGCUGCAGGCCGUCCUGCCAUCAAUCUUCCUA
rnacentral:lncRNA from 1 species